GUGAGGAAUAUUGCGCAAUGGAGGCAACUCUGACGCAGCCAUGCCGCGUGCAGGAAGAAGGCGCUACGCGUUGUAAACUGCUUUUAACCGGGAAGAAACCCCAGGACGUGUCCUGGGUUGACGGUACCGGAGGAAUAAGCACCGGCUAACUUCGUGCCAGCAGCCGCGGUAAUACGAAGGGUGCAAGCGAUAUCCGGAUUCAUUGGGUUUAAAGGGUGCGUAGGCGGAGCGUUAAGUCAGUGGUGAAAUCCUGCAGCUUAACUGUAGACUUGCCAUUGAUACUGGCGCUCUUGAGUGCGCUUGAAGUGGGCGGAAUGUGCCGUGUAGCGGUGAAAUGCUUAGAUAUGGCACAGAACACCAAUUGCGAAGGCAGCUCACUAAGGCGAUACUGACGCUGAGGCACGAAAGCGUGGGGAUCGAACAGGAUUAGAUACCCGUGUAGUCC
rnacentral:rRNA from 1 species